UCCACAGGCAGUGGCCAGAAACCACAAACCUGACCAGAGGCACAAAUGCCCUCUGACCCAAGCCCUGGAGCUGGGUAGAGGGCAAGGAGAGGAACCUCUGAGUGCUGCUGGCCACGCUGCCCAAGCUGCCCAUGCUACAGUGGAACUGGGCAGGCAGCCCCUGGGUGCUGUGACUACAUGAGAGGUGGGGAAGAAGCAGUGGUGCUGCAUCCUGCUGGUUAUGAGCUGGACAUGGCCACGGGGCAGCUGAAGGAGCCACUGGUCAGAGAGCUCUGCAAUACCUGGUGAGAGUUCCAGAACCAGAGCACCUGGCCCCUCUUCCAGGCUGAUAAUGGUGGUGAGUGCACCAGGCUCUGGAGGCUGAGGGCUGCCAGUCUGAGUGUGGCAAUGCCAGCAGCAGGGCUUUUGAGUGUCCUUCCCUCCAUCAGCCAAGGACUCAAGGAGAAAGCAUUCACACUCGUGCGUGUUGUCCUAUUUUCCUUUUCCCUGCCCCAAGCAGAGGUGCGGGUUGCUCUCUUCACUUCUCAAGCUAGGGAUCACCCCCUUCUGGGGGCCCCUCACCACCCAGGGUGUAAUGUGCCUCAUGACCAUCAACAUAUCACUGAAUGGUUUUCUUAUGGAAAAGCUGCAGGAGCCCAAGGAGAAGCAGACAGGCUUUCUUUUAAGGAUUUCAAAAGAACUCAGCAAAAGAGUGAUUCCAUAACCAUGUUCCUGUAUUGA
rnacentral:lncRNA from 1 species